CAUGCAGUCGAGCGCAAGAGACUAGGAGCUUGCUCCUUUGACGUUAGCGGCGGACGGGUGAGUAACACGUGGGUAACCUACCUAUAAGACUGGGAUAACUUCGGGAAACCGGAGCUAAUACCGGAUAAUAUUUCCAACCGCAUGGUUCGAUAGUGAAAAAUGGCUUUGCUAUCACUUAUAGAUGGACCUGCGCCGUAUUAUCUAGUUGGGAAGGUAACGGCUUACCAAGGCAACGAUACGUAGCCGACCUGAGAGGGUGAUCGGCCACACUGGAACUGAGACACGGUCCAUACUCCUACGGGAGGCAGCAGUAGGGAAUCUUCCGCAAUGGGCGAAAGCCUGACGGAGCAACGCCGCGUGAGUGAUGAAGGUCUUCGGAUCGUAAAACUCUGUUAUUAAGGAAGAACAAACGUGUAAGUAACUGUGCACGUCUUGACGGUACCUAAUCAGAAAGCCACGGCUAACUACGUGCCAGCAGCCGCGGUAAUACGUAUGUGGCAAGCGUUAUCCGGAAUUAUUGGGCGUAAAGCGCGCGUAGGCGGUUUUUUAAGUCUGAUGUGAAAGCCCACGGCUCAACCGUGGAGGGUCAUUGGAAACUGGCAAACUUGAGUGCAGAAGAGGAAAGUGGAAUUCCAUGUGUAGCGGUGAAAUGCGCACAGAUAUGGAGGAACACCAGUGGCAAAGCGACUUUCGGGUCUGUAACUGACGCUGACGUGCGAUAGCGUGCGGG
rnacentral:rRNA from 1 species